GAUGAACGCUGGCGGCGUGCCUAAUACAUGCAAGUCGAGCGAACAGAUGAGGAGCUUGCUCCUCUGACGUUAGCGGCGGACGGGUGAGUAACACGUGGAUAACCUACCUAUAAGACUGGGAUAACUUCGGGAAACCGGAGCUAAUACCGGAUAAUAUAUUGAACCGCAUGGUUCAAUAGUGAAAGACGGUUUUGCUGUCACUUAUAGAUGGAUCCGCGCCGCAUUAGCUAGUUGGUAAGGUAACGGCUUACCAAGGCAACGAUGCGUAGCCGACCUGAGAGGGUGAUCGGCCACACUGGAACUGAGACACGGUCCAGACGCCUACGGGAGGCAGCAGUAGGGAAUCUUCCGCAAUGGGCGAAAGCCUGACGGAGCAACGCCGCGUGAGUGAUGAAGGUCUUCGGAUCGUAAAACUCUGUUAUUAGGGAAGAACAAAUGUGUAAGUAACUAUGCACGUCUUGACGGUACCUAAUCAGAAAGCCACGGCUAACUACGU
rnacentral:rRNA from 1 species